ensembl:lncRNA
GGACAAGGUUUCCAAUUCGUUUGGCUGUGCUGCAGUCCUGCUGUUGGAAAUGCCUCAAAGCAGACAAAGGACUGCCAAUUAAUUGAGAUUGGGAAUUUCUUUUAUGACGGGUGACCUGUUUUUUAUUAUUUACUAUUGAAUAAAUUAUUGAACUAAAACUGUAUGUAUAUUGCCAGUGAACUGAGAAGGCCUGACCCCCCAUUGUAAAGCAUACCAGAGCAGUGCAGCUUCGUCUCAGUAGUCAUAAUAAAGAGGGGUGGUACCCGAAAAUGUAUGUUGGAAAAUGUAUGUUGGCCACUUAAUCCAUUCAUAUUGAAAUGAGGUCCCUUGUGUGCCCCUCCCCUUUUCCAGUGGGCAGCUCGGAAUCUUCCGGCGAGAGUGUGAGUGGCUUCAGCAGCUCCGGAUACAGCUGCCACUCUGCCCCUGGCGGAGACGGGGAUGACGCCUCUUCCAUGUGCCCCUCGGUCGUCAGCAUGAAAGACUCCCCGGCCGGCCAACACGAACGUGACUUACGCAAGACCAAGGGUCCCACUCGGUCUUCUGAGAAACCCAGCGCUCCCGCGAUUCCACCUAAACCGCCGGCUCUGACCAAGGAACCUCCCAUGGUUAAAAAAGCUGUCAUUGGAAAGUCAACAGAGGUUUGAGCUCGGUUUGGACCUUUCCAUUACAGAAGGACAGAGUGGACUUGUGUUGCUGUUUAAAGGGGAUGGUUAUGCAUAUGUGUUAAUGUAAUCUGCUUUUACUAUUGUUUUUACUGACCACUAAACUGACAAGAAGAUGUUUACUGUGUUUCACAUACUGUAGUUAGGCCUGUAUCUGUAUGUUGUAUUCUAUUGCCAUUUAAACAUGUCUGAUUUGUUUUGUGUAAGAUAAGUGCAUUCAACAUGAUUCCCUUAUUUCCAUUAUUCACUUUCUCUGGUGGGGGUCUUCAACAAAGACUAGCAAUUUAACGUGAACACGAACCGAAUUUUUAUACUGCACUGCACCGUCACCAUUUAUAAGGCACCAUUUUUAUUUUUCUGGAAUUUAAAUAAAGUUAUGAUAAAUGCGGUGAUGCAAAUCCCGUUCUCCUGGACCGAUGCAUCUGGUGGGAAUGUCACACCAGACCAGUUUUCCCGCCUGGCCAGUAACACAUAGUGUCAUUAAACUGACCUGGUACAAUGUUCUUAAAGACAGUGGUGAAUCAAUCAUGGAAUCAACGUCCCCCGUCUGUUUUGUUCAGAUGUGUUUUCAUGCUCUCUCUUUCGCUGGGUAGAGGACAGAUGCAGUUCUGGCGUCAAAUGACAGUUCCACUUGCCCAGCUCCUGCUACACAGAAACAUACUGUCGUUAUGGUACAUCAGGUGGAGUGUCAAUAUUACAGUUGACAGACCUGCUGACGAGUUCAUCGGUCUACAGGUUAGGAACAUUGAUUGUAUGUGUUUUACCAGAAGAACAUGUUUUACCAGAAGGCCGCUGCUCUGUGUCAUCUAUUCAGUCAUGGGGUCGUGCUGAAAUCGGUCCAAUGUUGUUUUUUUUCAUGUUGAAGAAAACUCAUUGACAAAAUUAAAUGAAUGUUAACUGGCGUUUGCUCGUAAUCUUUAAUUGUUCAUUGCUGUUAUUAUUUCUUUUGAGCAUGGCGUUGUGGUGUUGAGGUAUGACAGUACCAAGUUCAUAAUUCUAAUAAUCAGUUAUCACUACAAGCUACAUGUCACUCCAAAACCUCGACACAGAGUUCUUCAUGCUUCACCUGUGG